AUUGAACGCUGGCGGCAGGCCUAACACAUGCAAGUCGAGCGGAUGAAGGGAGCUUGCUCCUGGAUUCAGCGGCGGACGGGUGAGUAAUGCCUAGGAAUCUGCCUGGUAGUGGGGGAUAACGUCCGGAAACGGGCGCUAAUACCGCAUACGUCCUGAGGGAGAAAGUGGGGGAUCUUCGGACCUCACGCUAUCAGAUGAGCCUAGGUCGGAUUAGCUAGUUGGUGGGGUAAAGGCCUACCAAGGCGACGAUCCGUAACUGGUCUGAGAGGAUGAUCAGUCACACUGGAACUGAGACACGGUCCAGACUCCUACGGGAGGCAGCAGUGGGGAAUAUUGGACAAAGGGCGAAAGCCUGAUCCAGCCACGCCGCGUGUGUGAAGAAGGUCUUCGGAUUGUAAAGCACUUUAAGUUGGGAGGAAGGGCAGUAAGUUAAUACCUUGCUGUUUUGGCGUUACCAACAGAAUAAGCACCGGCUAACUUCGUG
rnacentral:rRNA from 1 species